rnacentral:rRNA from 1 species
GAUGAACGCUGGCGGCGUGCCUAAUACAUGCAAGUCGAGUGAACGGACGAGAAGCUUGCUUCUCUGAUGUUAGCGGCGGACGGGUGAGUAACACGUGGAUAACCUACCUAUAAGACUGGGAUAACUUCGGGAAACCGGAGCUAAUACCGGAUAAUAUUUUGAACCGCAUGGUUCAAAAGUGAAAGACGGUCUUGCUGUCACUUAUAGAUGGAUCCGCGCUGCAUUAGCUAGUUGGUAAGGUAACGGCUUACCAAGGCAACGAUGCAUAGCCGACCUGAGAGGGUGAUCGGCCACACUGGAACUGAGACACGGUCCAGACUCCUACGGGAGGCAGCAGUAGGGAAUCUUCCGCAAUGGGCGAAAGCCUGACGGAGCAACGCCGCGUGAGUGAUGAAGGUCUUCGGAUCGUAAAACUCUGUUAUUAGGGAAGAACAUACGUGUAAGUAACUGUGCACAUCUUGACGGUACCUAAUCAGAAAGCCACGGCUAACUACGUG